rnacentral:misc_RNA from 1 species
UCGAGAAAGUUGGCAUAACUGGCGAUCCAACGUCCUCCGCCAAUCACCGCGCGUCGUGGUCGACAUUCGACCAAUCCCGUCGUUGUAUCUCCCACAAUGCAUUGCGCCGCGCAAAGGAGACUACCAUGUUUAAUUACCGUGGCUCUUGCUCCUCGGCUUCUCUUCGUUGCCGGACGCCAUAGUGUGCAGUCGAUUCAGACGGACGCGUGGUAUAAGGAGUUCCUACCUUGAAGAGAGGAGCUUUGCUCACAAAGCGACAGGAUGGCCGGUACGGAGACUCCGAACGUGAAGUCGGAGGCAGUGAACGCACCAGUUAAGAACAGCAACGAGAACAUGGGGGAACGUAAUCAACCCGGCGGCGGCGGCGGCGGCGGCGGUGGUGGUGGCGGCGGUGGCGGAGGCGGCGGCGGCGGCGGCGGCGGCGGUAUCGGAGGCGGAGGCGGUGGCCGGGGACCUCGCGGCCGAAAAGGCGGUACUCGUUUUUCGGGCCGCGGAGGCGGCAGUGGCGGCAGAAAUGAACCGAUGAAAAUGAAUGACUCCAUGGAUGGAGGGAUGGAUAAUCCUCCUGAAGGCAUGGGCGGUGGCAUGGGAGGUGGUAUGGGGGGUGGUAUGGGAGGUGGUAUGGGAGGUGGUAUGGGAGGUGGUAUGGGAGGUGGUAUGGGAGGUGGUAUGGGAGGUGGAAUGGGUGGUGGAAUGGGCAUGGGACGUGGUGGAGCAAUGCGAGGAAGUGGAAGAGGAGGUCGCGGUGGCGGCGACAGAAACAUGGCCACUAGGUCACAAGACGAUCGACUGAUGGAACGUGUCAUGGCUAUCAGUGGACCUACUCAUGAGCUUCCACCACAAGAUACAACUGAAAAGAAGUUCAGUGGGCGAAAUCGUUUGUAUGUUGGAAACUUGACGAAUGAUGUGACUGAGGAAGAGAUACAGACCUUGUUUCAGAAAUUUGGAGAAAUAUCUGAAUUGUUCGUGAACAAAGAGAAGAGCUUUGCUUUCCUCAGAAUGGAUUAUAAAGCAAAUGCUGAUACAGCUAAGCGUGAAUUAGAUGGUUCAAUGCGCAAAGGUCGUGCUCUGAAAGUACGCUUUGCUCCUCAUUCAUCAACAAUCAAAGUGAAGAACCUUACGCCAUGGAUAUCUAAUGAACUCCUAGAGAGAGCCUUUGGUGUAUUCGGCGAAAUCGAACGUGCAAUCGUUAAGGUUGACGAUAGAGGUAAAAGCACUGGCGAAGGAGUUAUAGAGUUUUGUCGGAAACCAUCUGCUCAAUUGGCUCUGAGAAAGUGCACGGAGGGUUGUUAUUUUAUUACGGCUUCCCUUCGACCAGUGGUUGUUGAACCGUUUGAGCAACAAGAUGACGUAGACGGGUAUCCUGAUAAGAGUUUGCCACGCAAGAAUCCAGAAUUCUUUAAAGCGCGUGAAAUCGGACCACGCUUUGCACAGUUAGGUAGCUUCGAGCAUGAAUAUGGUACGAGAUGGAAGCAAUUACACGAAUUAUACAAGCAGAAAGAGGAAGCACUUAAACGGGAAAUGGCAAUGGAAGAAGAAAAAUUGGAAGCACAAAUGGAAUUUGCUCGCUAUGAACACGAGACAGAGCUUCUGAGAGAACAACUGCGUAUGCGCGAGGCUGAUCGCGAAAGGCAGAAGAGGGAGUGGGAAAUGAAGGAACGACAAGCUGAAGAGCAAAGGACUCGUGAAGAGGAAUUAAGACGGCGUCAACAAGAAGAAAUGGCGAUACGUAUUAGGAGACAGGAAGAGGAAUUGCACAGACGUCAACAAGAAAACAAUUUGUUUAUGCAGGAACAAGCAAUUCGUAGUGGUGGUGGCAAAAAUUAUGAUUCUGUUAGUAGCAAUGAUCGUGACGGAUAUGGUCAACCUGAUGGUGGAAGCGGCAUGCCAGUGAUUGCAGCACCAGGUUGAUCACGAAAGCGUUCACAAACUAUAGAUUACAAACUAUACUCUGAUGUUUUGAGACAACACUCAGGCUUGACGUCAUUACAUGAAGUAAUAACUUUAUAUUAGGAAAGUUCAUAAUAUGUGAAGAAAUAACGCAAAUUGGUCUGAUAUUAUAGGACAAAUUGUUUUAAAGGGGAUUGCAAGACGCACUUCGAAGAAUAAUUUCCAGCAACCAGUAGCUAAGAGAAUUUUAUUUCGUAGAAAGCAUUCUACGCAGUGUGGUUCAGUGAUUGGAACUUAAUUAUUUAAAUAUCUAUAAUUUUUUAUAUUUGAAUAAAUAUAUUUUUUAUUAAAAUAAAAAUUGCGUUUAAUCAA